rnacentral:lncRNA from 10 species
UUGAAUUUCUAGAAUUUAAAUUUUAUUUUUUUUUUCUGAGAUGGAGUCUCGCUCAGUUGCCCAGGCUGGAGUGCAGUGGCGCCAUCUUGGCUCACUGCAAGCUCCGCCUGCCGGGUUCACGCCAUUCUCCUGCCUCAGCCUCCUGAAUAGCUGGGACUACAGGCGCCCGCCACCACGCCCAGCUAAUUUUUUUGUAUUUUUAGUAGACACGGGGUUUCACCGUGUUAGCCAGGAUGGUCUCGAUCUCCUGACCUCGUGAUCUGCCCGCCUUGG